UGGGGAUCCCGUCAAGGCGAUCAGCUCAAAGGCAGCAGGGGCUGUUCAUUACCUCGUCUCUAUUGCGUGGCGCCAAAAGAUUGCACAGUUGGACAGAAAGAAUGUGGAAUGGACUGAACAGAGGAACAAGGAAUUUCUGGCUGCUUGGAGCCCCACUGUGGUUUGCAACAGCCCCUCCAGGAUCGCAGAGCUCUUUGGAGUCUAUUUCAACCCAAGAGAGAGGACAGAUUUCAUUCUGACUGUUAUGGAUGGCCUGACGAAUCACUGCAACAAUAACUGCCAGCCAACUGCAGAGGGAUUGCUGUCUGCCAUGGUGAACAGCGGUGGGACU